GAAUAAGCACCGGCUAACUACGUGCCAGCAGCCGCGGUAAUACGUAGGGUGCGAGCGUUAAUCGGAAUUACUGGGCGUAAAGCGAGCGCAGACGGUUAGUUAAGCAAGAUGUGAAAUCCCCGAGCUCAACUUGGGAACUGCGUUUUGAACUGGCUAGCUAGAGUGUGUCAGAGGGGGGUAGAAUUCCACGUGUAGCAGUGAAAUGCGUAGAGAUGUGGAGGAAUACCGAUGGCGAAGGCAGCCCCCUGGGAUAACACUGACGUUCAUGCUCGAAAGCGUGGGUAGCAAACAGGAUUAGAUACCCUGGUAGUCCACGCCCUAAACGAUGUCAAUUAGCUGUUGGGCAACUUGAUUGCUUAGUAGCGUAGCUAACGCGUGAAAUUGACCGCCUGGGGAGUACGGUCGCAAGAUUAAAACUCAAAGGAAUUGACGGGGACCCGCACAAGCGGUGGAUGAUGUGGAUUAAUUCGAUGCAACGCGAAGAACCUUACCUGGUCUUGACAUGUACGGAAGAGAGUAGAGAUACUCUUGUGCCUUCGGGAGCUGUAGCACAGGUGCUGCAUGGCUGUCGUCAGCUCGUGUCGUGAGAUGUUGGGUUAAGUCCCGCAACGAGCGCAACCCUUGUCAUUAGUUGCCAUCAUUAAGUUGGGCACUCUAAUGAGACUGCCGGUGACAAACCGGAGGAAGGUGGGGAUGACGUCAAGUCCUCAUGGCCCUUAUGACCAGGGCUUCACACGUCAUACAAUGGUCGGUACAGAGGGUAGCCAAGCCGCGAGGUGGAGCCAAUCCCAGAAAACCGAUCGUAGUCCGGAUUGCACUCUGCAACUCGAGUGCAUGAAGUCGGAAUCGCUAGUAAUCGCAGGUCAGCAUACUGCGGUGAAUACGUUCCCGGGUCUUGUACACACCGCCCGUCACACCAUGGGAGUGGGGGAUACCAGAAGUAGAU
rnacentral:rRNA from 1 species